UUAAAAGAGUUAACAGAGCGUCGACCAUGAGGCACGGGAGAUUCCAAAAGCAGUUUGUGAACGUGCAUUUUGGUGAGAAGUCGGUCAGUAGAAAGAAGAGGUUUCGGGAAUCCGAGCCGUCUCCCAGAGAUUUUCAAGUGUCAAGGGAGGGACACAACAGCGCAGAGUUGAGUGUCUUUUACUUCCACGGCGAUCAAUAAUUACAUUGCAU
rnacentral:lncRNA from 1 species